rnacentral:rRNA from 1 species
ACCCAAUAGAUACCCGGGUAGUCCACGCCCUAAACGAUGCGAACUGGAUGUUGGUCUCAACUCGGAGAUCAGUGUCGAAAGCUAACGCGUUAAGUUCGCCGCCUGGGGAGUACGGUCGCAAGACUGAAACUCAAAGGAAUUGACGGGGGCCCGCACAAGCGGUGGAGUAUGUGGUUUAAAUUCGAUGCAACGCGAAGAACCUUACCUGGCCUUGACAUGUCCGGAAUCCUGCAGAGAUGCGGGAGUGCCUUCGGGAAUCGGAACACAGGUGCUGCAUGGCUGUCGUCAGCUCGUGUCGUGAGAUGUUGGGUUAAGUCCCGCAACGAGCGCAACCCUUGUCCUUAGUUGCCAGCGAGUAGUGUCGGGAACUCUAAGGAGACUGCCGGUGACAAACCCGGAGGAAGGUGGGGAUGACGUCAAGUCCUCAUGGCCCUUACGGCCAGGGCUACACACGUACUACAAUGGUCGGUACAGAGGGUUGCGAUACCGCGAGGUGGAGCCAAUCCCAGAAAGCCGAU